rnacentral:rRNA from 1 species
UACGUAGGGGGCAAGCGUUGUCCGGAUUUACUGGGCGUAAAGAGCGUGUAGGCGGCCAGGUAGGUCGGUUGUGAAAACUGGAGGCUCAACCUUCAGAGGUCGACCGAAACCAUCUGGCUAGAGUCCGGGAGAGGAGAGUGGAAUUCCUGGUGUAGCGGUGAAAUGCGCAGAUAUCAGGAAGAACACCCGUGGCGAAAGCGGCUCUCUGGAACGGUACUGACGCUGAGACGCGAAAAGCGUGGGGAGCGAACAGG